rnacentral:misc_RNA from 1 species
CCAAUUUUUAUUAUUAGUUUGCAUGGUCGCUGUAAAAGGCGGGUUAAUGCACAACUACUAAUGUAAACGUUGAACUAGAUCGUUGGUGUGGAUUGCUUGGGAAUGGGAGAAGCGACAAGCCUCUCCGGACAGGCAAACCCCACGCCGAUAACCUUUUUUCAUACAAACUACCAAUAUAUACUACAAACAAACAAACAAAUAAAGCUAUAAUAGGACUUAUAUACAAGCUGAGUGGGUAAAAGCCUCAGCUUCAAAUUAAUAACUAUUA